rnacentral:rRNA from 1 species
UACGAAGGGGGCAAGCGUUGUUCGGAUUUACUGGGCGUAAAGCGUACGUAGGCGGAUAAUUAAGUCAGGGGUGAAAUCCCGGGGCUCAACCUCGGAACUGCCUUUGAUACUGGUUGUCUUGAGUCCGGGAGAGGUGAGUGGAACUCCUAGUGUAGAGGUGAAAUUCGUAGAUAUUAGGAAGAACACCAGUGGCGAAGGCGGCUCACUGGCCCGGAACUGACGCUGAUGUACGAAAGCGUGGGGAGCAAACAGGAUUAGAUACCCUGGUAGUCCACGCCGUAAACGAUGGAUGCUAGCCGUCGGGGAGCUUGCUCUUCGGUGGCGCAGCUAACGCAUUAAGCAUCCCGCCUGGGGAGUACGGUCGCAAGAUUAAA